ensembl:lncRNA
UCAUAGGUGUUUUUUUAAUAUCUGGUUGGGGGGUGGGGGUUGUUGUUGUUUAGUGUUUUGAUAGAAAAAACGGUCUUCUGAUGAUUAAAGCUGUUUACUAUGCCAGUGUAGCUUCUUCAAUUUGAUGUGAAUCAGAGAAGUCUUUCAGUCUAAAUACAAUUCUAAAAAUGGCAUCAAAUAUCAUCAAUUAUUACUGUGUUAUAGAAUGUGUUUCGUAGCAUGCUUGUUGAUAAAGAAAAUUUUACACAUUCUGACAGGAAGAGAGGGAUGAAGAAGGAAACAUGGUGAACUGAAUAAGAAAGGAAGCAAGGGGAAUCCAGAGCCUGCUCCAGGUCUGUGACAGCUAUGCCCUAAAAAGGAAAUGAAGUCUGUGGGCAUGAUGGGAGGGGCACCCAAAUGAAAGAGAGAGGCAGAAGCACAGGCCAGAGACAUAGAGCAGAGGCUCCUCAUUUCUUCUCUCUCAGUCUGUGUUCCAGGAGGCCAGAGUGAGGAAUUAGUCUACAGAUAUGAUGAAAAAUUAGUUUGACCAGCUACAGCCACAGAACCAGUACUGUGAACAUUAAGGCUUCCAAAAAGAGAUGAUAUUUCCAUAAUGGAUGGAAUAUAUGGGUCAGGUGUUCUACUCGAGGGAAGAGCCUGUUGAAAUAACACAUUUAUCAUAUUCAAAUAUCUGUUCGUGUUUCCAGUAAUUAAUAUCUGUGAGGAACAUGGAAACUUGAGCAAAAUCGUUAAAUAAGAGCAUUUCUUGUCAAGAUAACAAGCAGA